UCGAGCGCCGUAGCAAUACGGAGCGGCAGACGGGAGAGUAACACGUGGGAACGUGCCCUUCAGUUCGGAACAACCCCAGGGAAACUUGGGCUAAUACCGGAUACGUCCGUAAGGAGAAAGAUUUAUCGCUGAAGGAUCGGCCCGCGUCUGAUUAGCUAGUUGGUGGGGUAAUGGCCCACCAAGGCGACGAUCAGUAGCUGGUCUGAGAGGAUGAUCAGCCUCACUGGGACUGAGACACGGCCCAGACUCCUACGGGAGGCAGCAGUGGGGAAUUGUUCGCAAUGGGCGCAAGCCUGACGACGCAACGCCGCGUGGAGGAUGAAGAUCUUCGGGUCGUAAACUCCUUUCGAUCGGGACGAAAGUCUUGCGGGUGAAUAGUCCGCGAGGGUGACGGUACCGAGAGAAGAAGCCCCGGCUAACUACGUG
rnacentral:rRNA from 1 species